rnacentral:lncRNA from 1 species
AUGGUGCUGGCGGGGAGGGAUCCUGGGCUUCUUAGCUUGAUCGUGUGUGUGUGUGUGUGUGUGUGUGUGUCUAUUUUGAGGAGAGACCUGGGUGGCUCAGAUCCAUCCUCAGGUCCUAGUCCAGGUCCAAGGUGGCAGGCGAGGGUUUGCAGGACAGAGGAACCAGCCCUGGGUGGUAAGGGAAGGCGCCUAACACAGGACAGGGGCCCCAGCAAGGAGAGAAGACACUUUCUGACGGUUGUGUGUGCCUGCGGGUGUGUACCACUCCCAGAGCAGUGCCUCGUUAGACCUUGGGAAGAGCUGAGGGUCCCAUCGAGGCCAAGCCCCGCCUCCCACGGCACCCCUGCCCCUGCACCCGCUGUGGCGCAUGUUGAGCCUCCAUGUACUGAGCCACCACGCCCACGGCCUCGGCCUCGGGCAGCUGCAGGUUCCCAGACACAUUGCAGCGCAGAUCGCUCCAGUCGGAGCGCAGCAGCUCAAGUCCACGCUGCCGACGCUGAACGCGUGCGCUGCCAGUCGAUGGCAUCCUCGCGCCAGCGGCCGCGAACCAGGCCUGCCGCCUCCUCGCUGUCCUCCGACGCUCGCCGCCGGGUGCCCCUUCCUCGCCAUCGCCCCUUCCUCCUCCUCGUCCUCCUCGCCUCCCCAGGCAGCUGUGGCCUGGACACCUGGGACAAGCUCAGGAAGGAGGUCACGGGCUGCGCUUCAGAGGAAGAGUUGGAGUCCGCCGGGGGUCAUGUCCCGCGCGCCUGCCCUCCCGGUGGCCGCGCCGGGCCGGGCUCAGCUCAGGCCGGGGCUGCUCGUCCUGUGGCCUCGAGCCCGGGUGGGCGGGGCGCCUGCAGCGGCACCCUGGGUAGGGGUCGGGGCGAGGAAGACGCCAGGCAAGGGCGGCCGGGUGGGCCGCAGGCGCCGAGUGGCGGGGCCCGGGCGCCCGCAGGCCGGGCCGCACGCGUGUCACGACACCUUGAGGGCCGGGCUGGGCAUGGGGCGGGGCGCGCCCAAGAAGAGGGGAGCUGGCGGGCCGCCCAGCUCAGCGCCGGGCGUCGGGGUGUCGUCGGCGGCAGGGGUGGCGGGGCCUCGGAGGGGCUGCGGGGCCGGGAGCUGGCGGCUGCCCUGCCUUCGGGGCCUCGGUGGGCCCCAGGCCGGCGUCGAGCAGCUCUCCGUCGUCCUCGUCAUCCAGGAAGUCUGUGGGAAGCGCGCGUGAGCGCUGCAGCGCCACCCAGCUGGGGGUGGGGUCGCUGUGGGCACUCACCGUCCGGGUUGAGGAAGAGGAAGGCUCGGCGCUGCACCUCCUCUCUGUCCUCCCGCCCUCCUCCCGGUCCAUCUUCAUGUAUUUGUAGAACCCAAACCUGGGGCGGUGGGCGGGGCAUCAGAGACGCACUCGGCCGAGGCCCGCCCAUUCUCCCGGAACCGCCCGCCCCGCCCACCUUUCCAGAUACAGCGACUCCCGGUAGAAGCACUUAUUGUCCGUCUCCAUGUGAGUCAGGCGUGGUCAUUGGGAUAAACGAAGGACAGGUACACCUGGGGUGGGCAGAGGCCUCAGGGUGGGCCGUCUUCCAGAGGGUCUGGAGGCGGCCGGGACCCUGGUAG